UGGAACAAACAGGGGGACGAAACGCAUAACAAUUUGUAGCUUGAAUUUGUGUAGCCAACAUGAACGUAUGCUUUGCCUUGUAUUCUACAGGCGGGCCCACACAAUACAAGGAUGAUGGCAGUUACGCAAUGUGUGAUAUUUGCAUCCCUUUGUACAAACUGUAGAGUAAACUGUCAGUCUCAGGUUUGUUUAUAAACAAAAUUGAAGUUUUGGAAAGAAAUUUUUAGAUCAUGUGGCAAAUUAAUAGUACAGCUGGAGCUCGAAUGCGGUACUGCCGAGGGAGUGCAAGAAAAAGAGGCCCUGCUGACUGGUUCCCUGAUUGGCCAACUUGCGGAUGCUGAUUACCUCCAAAUCGACGAUUUCCAUGCUGAUGGUGUAGUGGCCACUGGCGUAGUUGUUGGUGGCAUCCUGAUUGCCGGUGACCAGCUUCUCCAGGUGACACAGAUGGCCAUUCGUUCCGCUGUGGACUUUGGUUACCACGGUCAGUUGCAGAACUUAGACUACGACAGGCGGAACGGUUGAGGCUAUUCCGCGGACUUAUCACUUCAAAAACACCAGCUCCGUUACCGUUACUCGUAGGAUUAUAUCGCCAUCUAAUCCACCCGGGGCAACUGAUCAAGGAGGAUGCCACCAACAAAAACGUACGUGGCCACUACUCGUGGCAAUCGUCGACGUGGUGGUGAAUCGCAAGCAGGCCAACAAGAGUUCUUGGCUGCAGGUUUCCUAAUCUUGAACGUGAUUGGCAAUCGCACCGGAUCCGGAUUCACCUUGCUGCUAAUGGAGCGUCUGUCUGUCGACUUCGGUAAUUAGUCCAACCCAGUGUUCGUCAUUUAACCCGGAUCUCAACUUCCCCGGACUGAUCAAACCCUACAGAUACAACUGUUUUUCGUCCAAUGCGUCAAUCUGUAAUUUAUGACGGGAAACGGCACAUUUAUGUGAAUAAA